GGAAUAUUGGACAAUGGGGGCAACCCUGAUCCAGCGACGCCGCGUGUGUGAAGAAGGCCUGCGGGUUGUAAAGCACUUUUAGUGGGGACAAAAAGCCACGGGCUAAUACCUCGUGGUCUUGAUUUAACCAAAAGAAAAAGCACCGGCUAACUCUGUGCCAGCAGCCGCGGUAUUCCAGAGGGUGCAAGCGUUAAUCGGAAUUACUGGGCGUAAAGCGUGCGUAGUCGGUUAUUCGAGUCGGGUGUGAAAGCCCCGGGCUCAACCUGGGAAUUGCAUUCGAUACUGGAUAGCUAGAGUUCGGCAGAGGGAAGUGGAAUUUCGGGUGUAGCGGUGAAAUGCGUAGAUAUCCGAAGGAACAUCAGUGGCGAAAGCGACUUCCUGGACCAGAACUGACGAUCAGGCACGAAAGCGUGGGGAGCAAA
rnacentral:rRNA from 1 species